rnacentral:rRNA from 1 species
AAACCAGCACCUCAAGUGGUCAGGAGGUUUAUUGGGCCUAAAGCAUCCGUAGCCUGAUCUAUAAGUUUCCGGUUAAAUCCAAAUGCUCAACAUUUGGGCUGCCGGAAAAACUGUAGAUCUAGGGAGUGGGAGAGGUAGACGGUACUCGGUAGGAAGGGGUAAAAUCCUUUGAUCUAUUGAUGACCACCAGUGGCGAAGGCGGUCUACCAGAACACGUUCGACGGUGAGGGAUGAAAGCUGGGGGAGCAAACCGGAUUAGAAACCCCGGUAGUCC